rnacentral:rRNA from 1 species
UACGUAGGGGGCAAGCGUUGUCCGGAAUUAUUGGGCGUAAAGCGCGCGCAGGCGGUCUUUUAAGUCUGAUGUGAAAGCCCACGGCUCAACCGUGGAGGGUCAUUGGAAACUGGGAGACUUGAGUGUAGGAGAGGAAAGUGGAAUUCCACGUGUAGCGGUGAAAUGCGUAGAGAUGUGGAGGAACACCAGUGGCGAAGGCGACUUUCUGGCCUAUAACUGACGCUGAGGCGCGAAAGCGUGGGGAGCAAACAGG